AGAAUUUUUCCAAACUUGCACUCACCCUCUCACCCUCUGCCCUCUCACAGACUCGCACUCAGCCUCUCGCACUCAGCCCUCACGGUAGUCUCAGCCCUCUCAAUUCUCACUCUCGGUGCCUCAAUCUCUCUCUCGGACAGAAGAACUGUCUUCCUGCCCUGCCAUCGGAGUUCUGUGAUGGAAAAGGUGUCUGCUGGUGUGUAGAUGAAGAUGUGCAUGUUGUUAGCUACUAGGAAUUGACGAUGAUGUGCGAUAUUACCAAAAACAGAGAUUCAAUUUUUUAAUUUUUAUUUAUUUUUUAAUUUUUAAAAAUUGAGAAGCAAGUAAUCUGUAUUCAAAGAAUUCUAGUUGUAUCAGCUAGCGAACCUCAUCAUCUUCAUAUAAUCCAAAAUAAAACAGUCAAAUCCCACUCGUGGAAGAUGUUGGUAGA